rnacentral:rRNA from 1 species
UACAGAGGGUGCGAGCGUUAAUCGGAAUUACUGGGCGUAAAGCGUGCGUAGACGGUUAUUUAAGUCAGGCGUGAAAGCCCCGGGCUCAACCUGGGAACCGCGCUUGAGACUGGUGCGCUAGAGUUCGGGAGAGGAUGGUGGAAUUCCCAGUGUAGAGGUGAAAUUCGUAGAUAUUGGGAAGAACACCGAUGGCGAAGGCAGCCAUCUGGACCGACACUGACGCUGAGGCGCGAAAGCGUGGGGAGCAAACAGG